ensembl:snRNA U7 U7 small nuclear RNA
UAGUGUUACAGCUCUUUUAGAAUUUGUCUAGCAGGUUUUCUGAUUUUUACCCGGAACCCCUC